rnacentral:rRNA from 1 species
GACGAACGCUGGCGGCGUGCCUAAUACAUGCAAGUAGAACGCUGAAGAGAGGAGCUUGCUCUUCUUGGAUGAGUUGCGAACGGGUGAGUAACGCGUAGGUAACCUGCCUUGUAGCGGGGGAUAACUAUUGGAAACGAUAGCUAAUACCGCAUAACAAUGGAUGACACAUGUCAUUUAUUUGAAAGGGGCAAUUGCUCCACUACAAGAUGGACCUGCGUUGUAUUAGCCAGUAGGUGAGGUAAUGGCUCACCUAGGCGACGAUACAUAGCCGACCUGAGAGGGUGAUCGGCCACACUGGGACUGAGACACGGCCCAGACUCCUACGGGAGGCAGCAGUAGGGAAUCUUCGGCAAUGGGGGCAACCCUGACCGAGCAACGCCGCGUGAGUGAAGAAGGUUUUCGGAUCGUAAAGCUCUGUUGUAAGUCAAGAACGGGUGUGAGAGUGGAAAGUUCACACUGUGACGGUAGCUUACCAGAAAGAGACGGCUAACUACGUG